AUGAUGCAGAGGAGGCGACAUAGCCUAGAGCUUAUUAAGUUCAGUUGGUUAUAAUGUCAGUGGAUGACUCCUCAGCUGAUUGAUAACAGCAGUGUAUGUUGUCACUCAUGUUGGACCGUGGCCACGGUGUGGCUCUGCACCAAUCAAGGACAAAUAAUAUUUCAAAUGAAGAAGCAACCACUAGCACUGGUCACUGUUAACGUGGAUUGUCUUUGUUACAAAUACGUUCCAUAGACUGCAUAUUAACACGGAAAGAGAAUCACAUAUUCGAAAAUAAUGUAAUAAUGGAACAGAUUUCACCUCGUCAACUGCGGGGAUCUGACCAAAUAUGUCAUCCUUAAGUGGCAGUGAGCUGAUCGAGCUGCUACACAUGCUGUGGAGCCCCAACAAACACAUGAUGGGACGAGGAUUCAUUUGCCCUGAUAUUGGCCGAAUAACAGUAGGUUGCUGUGCUCAUGUUAUGACAAUUUUGUGGUUUUUGAGCUGGGCAAGGUAUCAGGAACAUGUAUUUCCACCUGCCUAGUUCCUAGACAAUAUUUUAUUGACCCAUGA